AUUAUAGCAAUCCUGUAGACCAGCGUCGGAAUCAGCGUCGAGGUGAUACUCCAAGUGUUUGUAACCUGACGUUUUGGAGAGGAACCGAGCAUGAAACGAUAAAACACAUCGUUUAUUAAUUUUCCAAAUCGCUAUACUCUAAAUUUCAAUUUUCGAAAGACCGAGAAUCUCUUUAUACUGUCUGAUUAUUAAAAUUAUUAUAUUUCAGAUUCAAAGCGCCGAUGGAUACAGUGAUGGAAUUAACGACCAGUGGAAUUUCAUAGGCAGCAAAUCACGAGUUCUGGCUCUACUCAAUUAUCAAUGCUGAGGAGUCGAAAAUACUGGAGACUCAGGCAUCAAAAAUCCAUUCUUACUGGCGAACCGACGUCGUUCAACAGCACUUUGAUAUACGUACUCAGUUGGCUGUUCACAGCGACAACUUAGUGACCCACGAUCCAGUGAAGAUGACAGUUGGCCAGGUGCAGGGAACGUUUUACAUUCUGGCGAUUGGACUCGCGAUAAGCGGAUUGGUUUUCCUGAAAGAGUUGUACGAUGCUCAAAAAUCGACUCGUCAACGCAAAAAGGAGAUAGAAGGGUAUUAGGUAUUAACGACAAUACGGAAAAAUAUUCACGCCUUUCAUAGCCUUGACUUCUCUUUCGUACUAAUCACAUGUUCGAAGAAUCGAUGGAAUAUUCAACUCAGGGCUGCAAUGUGAAUGCCACUUACAAGUAAGUGAAUCGUAUUAUUAGAUCGAUAGCGUUCAACUUUAACGUCUAAAAUUAUCUUAUUUUUGAAGAGCACCAUAAAUACACGGUUCGACUUUAUUGUGGUUACGAAACCGUCAAAAACAGUAUCACCAGCG